rnacentral:rRNA from 1 species
UUGAUCGCAAGUGAGAGUUGGGUGGGCAAACUCAGGGGACAGCUUCAACUAUUCUUCUUCAAACUAGAGGAAGGUUGUGGCAAUAACAGGUCUGUGAUGCCCUCAGAUGUUCUAGGCUGCACACGUGCUACAUUGAUCAGCACAAUGCGAUACAUUUCGAAAGGAAACAUCGGUUUUAAGGUAACGUCGAUUGCCUACCGAUAGCACCUGGUCCCCAGUGGACUGGGCAAUCUCUUCUAAAUGCUGGUAAGGUACCCACACUCGAGCUAUUUAAUCACACGCGGGAGGCACACACGGUUCAAAUCUCAUUUGCGACUGUUGCCGCCAUGACGUAUGCAACUUGUCAAUUCUUCGUGGGGAUCGUCGAUUGCAACUAUUCGACUCGCCACAACUAGGAAUGCCUCGUACGGGUCUCGGUUCACCAUACCGCCCGG